AAAAGGACUUCGGUUUGCUUCGGGAUGGACUCGCGUCCAAUUAGCUAGUUGGUGAGGUAACGGCCCACCAAGGCGACGAUCGGUAGCCGGACUGAGAGGUUGAACGGCCACAUUGGGACUGAGACACGGCCCAGACUCCUACGGGAGGCAGCAGUGGGGAAUAUUGGACAAUGGGCGAAAGCCUGAUCCAGCCAUGCCGCGUGGAUGAAGAAGGCCCUAGGGUUGUAAAGCACUUUCAGCGAGGAGGAAAGGGUGUCGGUUAAUACCCGGCAUCUGUGACGUUACUCGCAGAAGAAGCACCGGCUAACUCCGUGCCAGCAGCCGCGGUAAUACGGAGGGUGCAAGCGUUGUCCGGAUUUAUUGGGUUUAAAGGGUACGUAGGCGGGUCUUUAAGUCCGUGGUGAAAGCCUGCAGCUUAACUGUAGAACUGCCAUGGAUACUGGAGAUCUUGAAUUCAGUUGAGGUAAGCGGAAUUUAUGAUGUAGCGGUGAAAUGCAUAGAUAUGACGCAGAACGC
rnacentral:rRNA from 1 species